rnacentral:rRNA from 1 species
GCAUGCCUACAAUAUAAUGUUAAUGCACCGGAUCCCAUUAGAACUCCGCAAUUAAGCGCGCUCAAGAUAGAGUAGUACUGGGAUGGGUGACCGCCUGAGAAGUCCUAGUCUUUUACAUGCC